ACGCUGGCGGCGUGCUUAACACAUGCAAGUCGAGCGAUGCCCACUCUUCGGGGUGGUGCCCUAGUGGCGAACGGGUGAGUAACACGUGGGCAACCUGCCCUCAGCUCUGGGAUAACUCCAAGAAAUUGGUGCUAAUACCGGAUAUGACCGCUGACCGCAUGGUCUGGUGGUGGAAAGAUUCAUCGGCUGGGGAUGGGCCCGCGGCCUAUCAGCUUGUUGGUGGGGUAGUGGCCCACCAAGGCGACGACGGGUAGCCGGCCUGAGAGGGUGACCGGCCACACUGGGACUGAGACACGGCCCAGACUCCUACGGGAGGCAGCAGUGGGGAAUAUUGCGCAAUGGGCGAAAGCCUGACGCAGCGACGCCGCGUGAGGGAUGACGGCCUUCGGGUUGUAAACCUCUUUCAGCAGGGACGAAGCGAUAGUGACGGUACCUACAGAAGAAGCACCGGCCAACUACGUGCCAGCAGCCGCGGUAAUACGUAGGGUGCAAGCGUUGUCCGGAAUUAUUGGGCGUAAAGAGCUCGUAGGCGGUCUGUCGCGUCGGCUGUGAAAACCCGAGGCUCAACCUCAGGCCUGCAGUCGAUACGGGCAGACUAGAGUACUGCAGGGGAGACUGGAAUUCCUGGUGUAGCGGUGAAAUGCGCAGAUAUCAGGAGGAACACCGGUGGCGAAGGCGGGUCUCUGGGCCGUAACUGACGCUGAGGAGCGAAAGCGUGGGGAGCGAACAGGAUUAGAUACCCUGGUAGUCCACGCCGUAAACGUUGGGCGGUAGGUGUGGGGGCCAUUCCACGGUUUCCGUGCCGCAGCUAACGCAUUAAGCGCCCCGCCUGGGGAGUACGGCCGCAAGGGUAAAACUCAAAGGAAUUGACGGGGGCCCGCACAAGCGGCGGAGCAUGUUGCUUAAUUCGAUGCAACGCGAAGAACCUUACCUAGGCUUGACAUGCACGGAAAUCUUGUAGAGAUUGCGGGGUGCCUUUGGCGUCGUGCACAGGUGGUGCAUGGUUGUCGUCAGCUCGUGUCGUGAGAUGUUGGGUUAAGUCCCGCAACGAGCGCAACCCUCGUUCUAUGUUGCCAGCACGUGAUGGUGGGGACUCAUAGGAGACUGCCGGGGUCAACUCGGAGGAAGGUGGGGAUGACGUCAAAUCAUCAUGCCCCUUAUGUCUACGGCUGCAAACAUGCUACAAUGGCCGGUACAAAGGGCUGCGAUACCGCUAGGUGGAGCGAAUCCCAAAAAGCCGGUCUCAGUUCGGAUUGGGGUCUGCAACUCGACCCCAUGAAGUUGGAGUCGCUAGUAAUCGCAGAUCAGCAACGCUGCGGUGAAUACGUUCCCGGGCCUUGUACACACCGCCCGUCACGUCUAGAAAGUCGGUAACGCCCGAAGCCGGUGGCCCAACCCUUGUGGAAGGGAGCCGUCGAAGGCGGGAUC
rnacentral:rRNA from 1 species